UGUGGGAGCGAGCCUGCUCGCGAUAGCGGUAUGUCAGUCACUGCCGUAUGGACUGAAUCACCGCUAUCGCGAGCAGGCUCGCUCCCACA
rnacentral:misc_RNA from 1 species